rnacentral:rRNA from 1 species
UACGAAGGGGGCUAGCGUUGCUCGGAAUUACUGGGCGUAAAGGGCGCGUAGGCGGAUAUCUAAGUUGGGGGUGAAAUCCCGGGGCUCAACCUCGGAAUUGCCUUCAAAACUGGAUAUCUUGAGUUCGGGAGAGGUGAGUGGAACUCCGAGUGUAGAGGUGAAAUUCGUAGAUAUUCGGAAGAACACCAGUGGCGAAGGCGGCUCACUGGCCCGGUACUGACGCUGAUGUGCGAAAGCGUGGGGAGCAAACAGG